UACGUAGGGUGCGAGCGUUAAUCGGAAUUACUGGGCGUAAAGCGUGCGCAGGCGGUUUUGUAAGCCAGAUGUGAAAUCCCCGGGCUCAACCUGGGAAUGGCAUUUGGGACUGCAAGGCUGGAGUGUGGCAGAGGAGACUGGAAUUCCUGGUGUAGCAGUGAAAUGCGUAGAUAUCAGGAGGAACACGAUGGCGAAGGCAGGUCUCUGGGCCAUGAUACUGACG
rnacentral:rRNA from 1 species